rnacentral:rRNA from 1 species
CGCGGCCUAUCAGCUUGUUGGUGGGGUAGUGGCUUACCAAGGCUUUGACGGGUAGCCGGCCUGAGAGGGUGACCGGCCACAUUGGGACUGAGAUACGGCCCAGACUCCUACGGGAGGCAGCAGUGGGGAAUAUUGCACAAUAGGCGGAAGCCUGAUGCAGCAACGCCGCGUGCGGGAUGACGGCCUUCGGGUUGUAAACCGCUUUCGCCUGUGACGAAGCGUGAGUGACGGUAAUGGGUAAAGAAGCACCGGCUAACUACGUGCCAGCAGCCGCGGUGGUACGUAGGGUGCGAGCGUUGUCCGGAUUUAUUGGGCGUAAGGGGCUCGUAGGUGGUUGAUCGCGUCGGAAGUGUAAUCUUGGGGCUUAACCCUGAGCGUGCUUUCGAUACGGGUUGACUUGAGGAAGGUAGGGGAGAAUGGAAUUCCUGGUGGAGCGGUGGAAUGCGCAGAUAUCAGGAGGAACACCAGUGGCGAAGGCGGUUCUCUGGGCCUUUCCUGACGCUGAGGAGCGAAAGCGUGGGGAGCGAACAGGCUUAGAUACCCUGGUAGUCCACGCUGUAAACGGUGGGUACUAGGUGUGGGGCCCAUUCCACGGGUUCCGCGCCGUAGCUAACGCUUUAAGUACCCCGCCUGGGGAGUACGG